UACGGGGGGAGCAAGCGUUGUUCGGAUUUACUGGGCGUAAAGGGCGCGUAGGCGGUCAGCACAAGUCAGUUGUGAAAUCUCCGGGCUUAACUCGGAAAGGUCAACUGAUACUGUGCGACUAGAGUGCAGAAGGGGCAACUGGAAUUCUCGGUGUAGCGGUGAAAUGCGUAGAUAUCGGGAGGAACACCAGUGGCGAAGGCGGUUACCUGGAGCUUUGCUGACGCUGAUGCGCGAAAGCGUGGGGAGCGAUCCGG
rnacentral:rRNA from 1 species